AACGCUGGCGGCGUGCCUAACACAUGCAAGUCGUACGAGAAAGUCCCGUUCGCGGGAUGAGUAAAGUGGCGCACGGGUGAGUAAUGCGUGGAUAAUCUGCCCUUUAGUUGGGAAUAACGUACCGAAAGGUGCGCUAAUACCUGAUAAUACUGCAUAACUACUGUUGUGUAGUCAAAGAAGGCCUCUGUUUACAAGCUUUUGCUGAAGGAUGAGUCCGCGUACCAUUAGCUGGUUGGUGGGGUAAUGGCCUACCAAGGCUACGAUGGUUAGCUGGUCUGAGAGGAUGAUCAGCCACACUGGAACUGAGACACGGUCCAGACUCCUACGGGAGGCAGCAGUGAGGAAUAUUGCGCAAUGGGGGCAACCCUGACGCAGCAACGCCGCGUGAGUGAGGAAGGUUUUCGGACCGUAAAGCUCUGUCGGGCGGGAAGAAAUGUAUCAUGGCUAAUAUCCAUGAUACUUGACGGUACCGCUAAAGGAAGCACCGGCUAACUCCGUG
rnacentral:rRNA from 1 species